rnacentral:lncRNA from 10 species
AGCUAACAAAAGCUCCAAGGUCUUUGGGCAGAGCCGUGGCAAAGCAAGGCUACUGGUGAGUAACUCGGAGAAGUGUGCUCAACUUCAGCCCUCCCUAUUCUUCCUCCCUCCAAAGCCUUGCUUCAAAAAUAGCUAAUACAACCUUCCAUGUUGAACAUUUUAAUUAGAAAGCUACAGAACAUAAUGGAUUCUUUAUACAAGUUUUGCAUUCAAAUAAUUUAAUAAAAUGCAAACCAAAGUUUAUACGUAUCUUUAGCCAUCUUCCCAUGUUUCAUUAAAUUCUGGGGAUUUAAACCACAAGCAAUUUUUCAUUUCAGUCUCAAGAGACGGGGCACACUGGCCCAUGCCUAUAUUCCUGGCACUUUGUGGGGCUGAGACAGGAGGAUUUCCUGAGGUUGGGAGUUCAAGACCAGCCUGGGCAACAUAGUGAAAACCCCAUCUAUAAAAAUAAAUAAAUCUCAAGAAAAAAAUUUAGGCAUCUAAAAUAGCCAGAAUAUUAAAAAAAGACAAGGGGGACAGUGUUAGAGAAUUCCUCUGCUUGAAUACUUCAAAAUAGCUUUGUUUCCAAAACUGUUUUUAGUCAGCCUAAAGGAAACGGAUGCUGGAGAUGAAAAAUGAUCUCCAAGGUAAACUGAGGCACACACUGAGGGGUGUGUUUCUGGGUGGGCAUGAAGCAUGGAUCACCGGAGCCAUGUCCUUCCAGGGGCAACGACCUGCUUGGGAUCAGGAAGCAGCUCCAUGUGUUCUUGGAGGAGACUGCACGCAUCCUCAGGAGGUGAAUCGGCUGAACAAGCCAUCUUCCGUGUGCAGAGGCCCCUUCCAGCCAUCUCUGCUCCUGCAGACACUUGCUUAGCCACGAGGAUAAUCCACUGGACUGCUUGUGCUGCUGAGGGGGCUGAGAAUGAAACAGCCCCUCUGACUUCAGCCUGCCAUCCAGGGGCACAGACAGAGGGAAAAACCGGGCAAAGAGCCAGCCACAGUCGGGCAGGGAUCCAGGGCUGCUCAGCUGAGCUGAUGACAGAUGACUGACUGUUGGGCUGGGGCAGGUG